rnacentral:sRNA from 1 species
UCCGUGUCGAGGCGCUUCAGGGCCCAGC